AAAGUAACGUCAGUGAUAGUUUGUGCGCCUGCAACAUACUCGUAUAAUGAACUAAUGGUGCAGAACUUGCGAAAUAAGAUUAUAUUUAAAUUAUCGUAAAAUUGCGUAAUCAUAUCUGAAUCGCGAUUUUACUGUGUUCAGAGAGUAGAAAGUUAUAAUAUUAUGUGGCAGCAUAGACUAUCAGAUCCAGGACUUAUGGUCAAAGUCGAAAUUACGAUAUCUUCUUCUCGUACAUUCGAUACAGAUAUUUAUUACUAAAGCGUAGAUGAUUCUGAAACUGGGUAUUCAGUGUAAGCACUAUUUAUAAGUUAUACCUGUCUACUCUCUGACAUUUCUUAUAACAGUCUAAACUGAUCGAUACGCGUCUUAAUAGGCAAUCUCAGAAUCCCAAUAAGUUCGACCAGACUUGAUCCAAAGGUUUGUGUUCUGAUUGGCAGAUCUGGACCAAUCACAAACUGUUCACCGUUAGAAAUAGAACAUUGAAAUAGAUUAAUUUGGAUCUAUUAAAAACUUCAGGGAUUUGCGAAAUUCUUUGGGAUUUUGUGUUGCCGAACGUAAUCGGGUAUCUAUUUUCGACCUUUUUGCGUGUAACAAAAAGGAAUUGGUAGUAGGCACUGUAAUAUAUGUAGUGUCCGUCACAGUAGGACCCGGCAUGCUCUUAAACUAUUCAUUCAAUACUCUAGGUAAACCAGAAUGCUUCUAUUUGACACUAAUGAACUGCUCGUAUAAACAUAGAUACAGCCUGAUACACAUAUGCAUUUGGUAUAGAAAAUUGUGUCUUUCUGUAUCUCGUUACCAGGCGGAUAGUUUGCGAUACCAAGUGUCGCUUAUAACUCAUUUCACGUGUACUCGCGUCACUUCACAACAUUUACUGGUGGUGGAAUGCGUCAUAAGCUUUUAAUGACGUUAGGUAUUUCAAUGACGCGUUUCCAUAAUUUUAUUUCCGCUUAAUAGCUCAAUAUAGUUUAUUCAGCAUCAGUGAUGAAUAGAAGCAUCAUCCGUACCAUAUGGCGCAUAUACUCGAUGAUAAAUGCCAUGUCAUAGUUCCAUCGCUUUAAUUAUAAUGAAAACACAUCGAGACAGUAAAUAUAUACGGGUAUAUGCGCAUAUUUUGACAAAACUGAACCACGUGACGUACUUAUAACUAUCGGGACAGGCAAAGCCCGCGGAUUAUACAUUUCUAAAUGGCGUCGCGCUACCUCCCCUGUAUAUUCUUAUGGAUGAAGAUGACACAAGAUAUUUAAAGAUGAAAAUGAUAAUAAAAGUCAUAAGCACUUUGUUUCUAGGAUGUGUUCUGCAUUGUGCAGUCCAGACAAGCCGAAACCGCCUUUUUAUGUGAUCAGUCCUUCUAGCACGCUGACGAUUAUUUCAUACUUAAAGCAAAAAGCGCGAGGGGCGUAAUGCUUUAGAGACUGUGCACCCUGGCGUUCCAAACCGCGGUUCUUCGGUGGAUUAAUACAAACUUGUUGAACGCAUUCGAGUUUGUAUGGAAUCAUCAAAGGUCUGCCGUUGGGAAGUUCCAAGUUCCAAUGCACACAUUAUUUAGACAUCAGAAGUUAGACUACAUCGCGCGAGUUAGAAACCACUCUAGACAGCAGAAUGCAAAACUCAACAAGUACAAAGUUGUAUUGUAUGGUAGCGGCGAGGUAGGUAGUAGCGACGCCGGCUAUCUUAGACAUCACCUAGCAAACGGGAGCCGCUCAUGCACACGGGACUACAAUGCGCAUACGCACGGACACGGCUAUAUUCUCUCUCGUUAAGGCGAUUAUACAAAUUUAAACACUAUGUUAAAUUGCACACUGACCCACCUCUAUAAACUUUUAAUUGCGAUAAAUAUUCGUAAUGCUGUAUAAAAAUAUUAAAGGAAAAAUCGUCAUGUUAA